rnacentral:rRNA from 1 species
GACCUGAAUCUGACGUGAUUACCCGCUGAACUAAAGCAUAU